GAUGAACGCUGGCUACAGGCUUAACACAUGCAAGUCGAGGGGAAACGACGGGGAAGCUUGCUUCCCCGGGCGUCGACCGGCGCACGGGUGAGUAACGCGUAUCCAACCUGCCUCUGACUGAGGGAUAACCCGUCGAAAGUCGGCCUAAUACCUCAUGGCAUCGUCUGCGGGCAUCCAACGACGAUUAAAGAUUUCAUCGGUCAGGGAUGGGGAUGCGUCUGAUUAGCUAGUUGGCGGGGUAACGGCCCACCAAGGCUACGAUCAGUAGGGGUUCUGAGAGGAAGGUCCCCCACAUUGGAACUGAGACACGGUCCAAACUCCUACGGGAGGCAGCAGUGAGGAAUAUUGGUCAAUGGGCGAGAGCCUGAACCAGCCAAGUAGCGUGCAGGAAGACGGCCCUAUGGGUUGUAAACUGCUUUUAUGCGGGGAUAAAGUGAGGGACGUGUCCUUCAUUGCAGGUACCGCAUGAAUAAGGACCGGCUAAUUCCGUGCCAGCAGCCGCGGUAAUACGGAAGGUCCGGGCGUUAUCCGGAUUUAUUGGGUUUAAAGGGAGCGUAGGCCGUGGAUUAAGCGUGUUGUGAAAUGCAGGUGCUCAACGUCUGCACUGCAGCGCGAGCUGGUCCACUUGAGUGUGCGCAACGCAGGCGGAAUUCGUCGUGUAGCGGUGAAAUGCUUAGAUAUGACGAAGAACUCCGAUUGCGAAGGCAGCUUGCGGGAGCACAACUGACGCUGAAGCUCGAAAGUGCGGGUAUCGAACAGG
rnacentral:rRNA from 1 species